GAGUGGCGAACGGGUGAGUAACACGUGGGUAACCUGCCCAUCAGAAGGGGAUAACACUUGGAAACAGGUGCUAAUACCGUAUAACAAUCGAAACCGCAUGGUUUUGAUUUGAAAGGCGCUUUCGGGUGUCGCUGAUGGAUGGACCCGCGGUGCAUUAGCUAGUUGGUGAGGUAACGGCUCACCAAGGCCACGAUGCAUAGCCGACCUGAGAGGGUGAUCGGCCACAUUGGGACUGAGACACGGCCCAAACUCCUACGGGAGGCAGCAGUAGGGAAUCUUCGGCAAUGGACGAAAGUCUGACCGAGCAACGCCGCGUGAGUGAAGAAGGUUUUCGGAUCGUAAAACUCUGUUGUUAGAGAAGAACAAGGAUGAGAGUAACUGUUCAUCCCUUGACGGUAUCUAACCAGAAAGCCACGGCUAACUACGUGCCAGCAGCCGCGGUAAUACGUAGGUGGCAAGCGUUGUCCGGAUUUAUUGGGCGUAAAGCGAGCGCAGGCGGUUUCUUAAGUCUGAUGUGAAAGCCCCCGGCUCAACCGGGGAGGGUCAUUGGAAACUGGGAGACUUGAGUGCAGAAGAGGAGAGUGGAAUUCCAUGUGUAGCGGUGAAAUGCGUAGAUAUAUGGAGGAACACCAGUGGCGAAGGCGACUCUCUGGUCUGUAACUGACGCUGAGGCUCGAAAGCGUGGGGAGCAAACAGGAUUAGAUACCCUGGUAGUCCACGCCGUAAACGAUGAGUGCUAAGUGUUGGAGGGUUUCCGCCCUUCAGUGCUGCAGCUAACGCAUUAAGCACUCCGCCUGGGGAGUACGACCGCAAGGUUGAAACUCAAAGGAAUUGACGGGGGCCCGCACAAGCGGUGGAGCAUGUGGUUUAAUUCGAAGCAACGCGAAGAACCUUACCAGGUCUUGACAUCCUUUGACCACUCUAGAGAUAGAGCUUCCCCUUCGGGGGCAAAGUGACAGGUGGUGCAUGGUUGUCGUCAGCUCGUGUCGUGAGAUGUUGGGUUAAGUCCCGCAACGAGCGCAACCCUUAUUGUUAGUUGCCAUCAUUUAGUUGGGCACUCUAGCAAGACUGCCGGUGACAAACCGGAGGAAGGUGGGGAUGACGUCAAAUCAUCAUGCCCCUUAUGACCUGGGCUACACACGUGCUACAAUGGGAAGUACAACGAGUCGCGAAGUCGCGAGGCUAAGCUAAUCUCUUAAAGCUUCUCUCAGUUCGGAUUGUAGGCUGCAACUCGCCUACAUGAAGCCGGAAUCGCUAGUAAUCGCGGAUCAGCACGCCGCGGUGAAUACGUUCCCGGGCCUUGUACACACCGCCCGUCACACCACGAAAGUUUGUAACACCCGAAGUCGGUGAGGUAACCUUUUGGAGCCAGCCGCCUAAG
rnacentral:rRNA from 1 species